GCAAGUCGAGCGAUUUACUUCGGUAAAGAGCGGCGGACGGGUAGAGUCCCGCGUGGGUAACCUGCCCUGUACACACGGAUAACAUACCGAAAGGUAUGCUAAUACGGGAUAAUAUGCUUUAGUCGCAUGGCUGAAGUAUCAAAGCUCCGGCGGUACAGGGUGGACCCGCGUCUGAUUAGCUAGUUGGUAACGUAACGGCUUACCAAGGCGACGAUCAGUAGCCGACCUGAGAGGGUCAUCGGCCACAUUGGAACUGAGACACGGUCCAAACUCCUACGGGAUGCAGCAGUGGG
rnacentral:misc_RNA from 1 species